AGCGAGCGCUGGCGGCAGGCUUAACACAUGCAAGUCGAGCGGGCGUAGCAAUACGUCAGCGGCAGACGGGUGAGUAACGCGUGGGAACAUACCUUUUGGUUCGGAACAACACAGGGAAACUUGUGCUAAUACCGGAUAAGCCCUUACGGGGAAAGAUUUAUCGCCGAAAGAUUGGCCCGCGUCUGAUUAGCUAGUUGGUGAGGUAAUGGCGAACCAAGGCGACGAUCAGUAGCUGGUCUGAGAGGAUGAUCAGCCACAUUGGGACUGAGACACGGCCCAAACUCCUACGGGAGGCAGCAGUGGGGAAUAUUGGACAAUGGGGGCAACCCUGAUCCAGCCAUGCCGCGUGAGUGAUGAAGGCCCUAGGGUUGUAAAGCUCUUUUGUGCGGGAAGAUAAUGACGGUACCGCAAGAAUAAGCCCCGGCUAACUUCGUGCCAGCCGCCGCCGUAA
rnacentral:rRNA from 1 species